rnacentral:rRNA from 1 species
UACAGAGGUCCCGAGCGUUGUUCGGAAUUACUGGGCGUAAAGGGCGCGUAGGCGGUUCGUUAAGUCCUGUGUGAAAUCCCCCGGCUCAACUGGGGAACUGCACAGGAAACUAGCGGGCUUGAGUUCGGGAGAGGGAUGCGGAAUUCCAGGUGUAGCGGUGAAAUGCGUAGAUAUCUGGAGGAACACCGGUGGCGAAGGCGGCAUCCUGGACCGGCAUUGACGCUGAGGCGCGAAAGCGUGGGGAGCAAACAGG